ACGGGUGCUUCUUCUUCGGAAGAAGUAACCCGGCGGACGGCUCAGUAACACGUGGAUAACUUGCCCUUGGGUCCGGGAUAACCCCUGAGAAAUUGGGGACAAUACCGGAUAGGGCAUCGAUUGCUGGAAUGCGCGAUGUCCAAAAGCUGAGGCGCCCAAGGAUAGGUCUGCGGCCGAUUAGGUUGUUGUUGAUGUAAUGGAUCAACAAGCCUGCAAUCGGUACGGGUUGUGAGAGCAAGAGCCCGGAGAUGGGUUCUGAGAAAAGAACCCAGGUCCUACGGGACGCAUCAGGCGCGAAAACUUUACAAUGUGCGAAAGCACGAUAAGGGAACUCUGAGUGCCUCCUAUGGAGGCUGUUCAGGUGUCUAAAAAGCACUUGAAGUAAGGGCUGGGUAAGACCGGUGCCAGCCGCCGCGGUAACACCGGCAGCCCAAGUGGUAGCCACGAUUAUUGGGUCUAAAGCGUCCGUAGCCGGCCAGGUAAGUUCUUUGGGAAAUUUAACCGCUCAACGGUUAAGCUUUCAGGGAAUACUGCUUGGCUUGGGACCGGGAGAAGGUCA
rnacentral:rRNA from 1 species